rnacentral:lncRNA from 1 species
CUGCUCCACAGCUGGGGAGAAGGAUUCCCUCCACCGUGCAGUUCAGGGUGAGGAAGGAUCCCAGCAAACUCUCAGGGUGGACGCCGGCAAUCCUGGCUACUGGAAAGUUCACAUUCUCACAGCCCCGCAGCCCACCUAGGCGAAAACAGUAAGAGGUGGUUUGAUUCUUCCAUUUUGACUCUAGACCACAAACAAUAAAGACUUCCAAGUCUCCUUGGAUCCGUGUAACAGAAAAUUGUUCGAUGUGGUGGGCAGAAGGCCCGGAAGCUGUGGCUGGCCUGGGAGAGUGACUGGCCCGAGCUUCCCCUCCGACCACCCUGCAGAAGAGAAGUCACCGUCCCUGCAUGGCAGAGCUGUGUUACUACCAAACACAAGUGCGAGGAAGGCUUUUUCUCUGCCAGGGUAACUGCACGGAGCCUUCACUUCUCCCUGCCGUGGACAGCCAGCCGGCCAGGCUCCUCGGAGCUCUCAGUUCGGCCUUGACCUUGGCCCCUGUCCUCGCUAACCGGGUGUGACCCAAGUUUUAGCAAGAAUCUGAUCGAGCUCCAUCUCUCCCCUGUUGUGAUGCUCCUAUUCCAAGAGCCCCAAAUAAAGUCAUCGUUAUUUAACAAGUGUCAAAUUAAUUUUUGAAUACAUUUCAGCAGGAAGCUUAGAGGUUUUAAAAUUUUUUUAGCAUUGCAGAAGCAACAGUUGGGGGAGUGGGUCAUAGUUACUGGCAUAGUAGCCAAUAAUCUAGCCAACCAUUGAACUGUGUUCUGGUAAAU